CAAUGCUACUGGGUGGAAUCAACAGAAAUCUCAGAACAAAGACACCUGGGGAAGUACUGCAGAAGCCCAAAAUAAAGAUACUGUUCAUGAAGAGUCAUGGGGUAAAAGAUCUAGUGCAGGCGAGGACCAUUGGAAUAAGGGUGCUGGGUGGAAUCAGCAGAAAUCUCAGAACAAAGGGGACACUUGGGGAGGUACUGCAGUUGGUAGCUGUGCCCAACCAGAUUCGGGAGAUGCUGAUGAAGUGAAUGGCUGGAUGAAAGCCAAAGUUGA
rnacentral:misc_RNA from 1 species